CAAAGCUCACCAUCUCUGCUAUGAAUCUGCACCUCAAUGAAUUGAACUCAUGUCUAUGACCAAGAGUGCAGCGGGAAAGAGCAUGGAGUUGUGCAAAGUUAGCCAAAGGAUCACACUGUAAAGGGGGCCAUGGACAGUAACUUGCAGAGUGUUACUGACUGAAGGACACGUUAACUGUCAAUUUUCACAAAGAAGUUUGGCUCCUAAAAGGAAGCUGUGGAGAGAGCAGCGUUUUUUGGCCUGUGGCAUGCCGGUCAGCGAUACAUCACCCGAUACAGCAAGUCACCUGUCUUGUAGUACCACCACUCGUCCAUGGCAUGGAACAUCCUAUAUGCUAUGAAGUUACCAAGAAACUCCCAGCAUGCACCAUGUUUGUUACUUGUCUGGAAUCCAUAAAAUAGAGAAUGCUAUAAAUAUACUCAUGUUGGACAAAAAGAAAAGGAGUAUUUGUGGCACCUUAGAGACUAACCAAUUUAUUUGAGCAUAAGCUUUCGUGAGCUACAGCUCACUUCAUCGGAUGCACCUGUCAUGUUGGACAGUUUCCUGUUCUGUUGUCUUAUGCAUGAUGUUUAAAAAUUGCACAAUUCUGUGGUUCUAAUGUACUAACACUUCCAAGUUUGGUUCAAAACAAAUCUUUACUUGAAUGACAUGGGUUUGCAGGUUCUGUGCUUUGAACUUAUUUGUCCCAUAGUCAAACUUCUUUGCAAACCCAUUGUCACAUUCCGGGCUGCACUCCAGACCAGUGACAGGUUGUCACUGCGUGCUCUGCAACACUGGGUGUCUCAAUGCUUUGCUGCUGUUGUAGUUCCCAACCUGCUACUGUUACAUCCCGGGGUACAAUCCAGGCCAGUGAGGGGCUGUCACCAUUGUGCCUCACAAUUUUGUGCUGUUGUAGAUCUCAACGUGGGCUGUUCACAAACAGCCAACAGCAUGCAGGUCACACCCUGUGUGUCUGUGUAUAGCUACAGCCCUGGUCAGCAGCCUGUCCACAACACUCCAGUCAUACUCUGGCUCCCAUGAGCCUUGGUUACUACUUGCAGGGUGAGUCCUGGAUUUUCUCAAAAUGUGUGCUGUGCACUGUCCAGCCCUGGACAGUUCAUAUAUUAAGGAUCCAUUGCCCCUGCAAAGGGUCAAUAUUCAACAGUUUGUUACUUUAACUGGAGUUACCAAACAAUUCAAUUUAAACUAGGGAUGUCAAGCGACUAAAAGAAGUAAGUGCGAUACAUCGCGCGAUUAAA